AUAUUAAUUAAAUUAUCCAAAUAUCCAACCUGAAUCGGAUUUGUGCGCGAUUGUUCUGAAUUUUUAUUUAAAUUUUCCUCCCGGAUUUUUAUUUAAAUUUUCCUCCCGGAUUUUUAUUUAAAUUUCCCUCCUGUUUUGAAGUGGUUGUUUUUUUUAAGAAACAGUACUUCCAUUGACCAUAAAUUCGUUUGAUUCCUGAGAUUUUUCCUUAUGAAUUUUCUGAACUUCAAGACUUCUUCUUCUUUUGCGCAAAUCUAUUCAAUGUGAUUUAUGGCCAUUAAGUGGUUUGCAGUUCAUUAGAGUUUUUGGUACCAAUACGCUGGUGAGUUAAGUCGUUCUAUCCUGGGAGGAUAAUAUUCCAACACCUUGGGUACUUGAAAGGAUUAAUUUUCUUAAGGACACACUGUGCAUUCAGUGGGCUCGAUUUAUUCUGAAAUUCUUUUUUCAGAUAUUAUUUCGACAUUCUGUUACUACUAACUUUCUAUUUCUAUUUUCUGUUUCAGAAAGUUUACUGUUUCGUUAUUUAUUAUAGUAAUACAGAUUGACUAACAAUAUAUCACUAUUUGGAAUAUUGAAAACACAUGUCUAAUCAGAAUUAGCCUACAAUUCAUUUUGAAGUACAUCAUCAUUGUAAGGAAGGAAAUGAAAAAAAAAGAGGGUAAAUUGAAGGAUGAUCACGUGGACCUCCCCUCAAAUUUAUAUAAAUGGCAUGUUGGCAUUAGGAUUUCAGAUGAGUUGUUGCCGGAUGGUGAUUCAGGAAAGAAAUGUUCUUCAGAUGGAGAAGAACAAAUGAAGAAGAAAGCAGACACAAAGUCAAAAUUUCAGACUUUACAAGGAAGGGUUCCCCAGUCCCUGAAGCCCUCUUUCUCCACUCGAGUCUGAAGAACUGGUGUCAAAACACUCCAUUUGCACCAUCAAGAAGCUUUCUUGCCUACGUGUAAAUAUUUUAGAUAGAUUUGUUUUUGGAGAAUAUUCCUUUUCUAAGUUAGUUACACAUUAGGUGGUAGAUAGGAGACAAGUGUACAAAUAGGAUUACAUUCUUUCUUCAUUCUUUUUGUAUAAAUUCAUGUACAAUGCUUAUUUUGAAUACACAGAAAAU